rnacentral:rRNA from 1 species
CAAUCGAACUCGGAUAUAGCUGGUUCUCCUCGAAAUAGCUUUAGGGCUAGCCUCAAGGUAAAGAUACACGGGGGUAGAGCACUGACUGUUCGCGGGGCCUUCACCGGUUACCAACAACUAUCAAACUCCGAAUACCGUGCUAUCAUACUUGGGAGUCAGACUAUGAGAGAUAAGUUCCAUGGUCGAAAGGGAAACAGCCCAGAUCAACAGCUAAGGUCCCAAAGAGUAAGUUAAGUGGAAAAGGAUGUGGGAUUGCACAAACAGCUAGGAUGUUGGCUUAGAAGCAGCCAUACAUUUAAAGAGUGCGUAAUAGCUCACUAGUCGAGUGAUCCUGCGCCGAAGAUAAACGGGGCUCAAACUUACCACCGAAGCUUUGGAAUUAGUAUAACUAAUUGGUAGAGGAGCAUUCUAUACAGGUAGAAGGAGGCGCGUAAGCAAAUCUGGACGGUAUAGAAGAGAGAAUGUUGGCAUGAGUAGCGUAAGGCGGGUGAGAAUCCCGUCCGCCGAAAAUCUAAGGUUUCCUGAGGAAGGUUCGUCCUCUCAGGGUAAGUCGGGACCUAAGCCGAGAGCGAACGCUGUAGGCGAUGGACAACAGGUUGAUAUUCCUGUACCACCAAGGAUUGUUUGAAUGAAGUGGGGACACAGAAGGAUAGAUUGAGCACGCCGUUGGUUGAGCGUGUCCAAGCAGUGAGGCUUGAAAGUAGGCAAAUCCGCUUUCUACAAGGCUGAGCUGUGAUGGGGUGGUCGAAUGACCGGUAGCAAUCGAUUUCACGCUGUCAAGAAAAGCCGCUAAUGAGAUCCAAGGUGCCCGUACCGCAAACCGACACAGGUAGAUGAGGAGAGAAUCCUAAGGUGAGCGAGAGAACUAUUGUUAAGGAACUCGGCAAAAUAACCCCGUAACUUCGGGAGAAGGGGUGCCUGCUUCGGCAGGCCGCAGUGAAGAGGUCCAGGCAACUGUUUACCAAAAACACAGGUCUCUGCUAAAGCGAAAGCUGAUGUAUAGGGGCUGACGCCUGCCCGGUGCUGGAAGGUUAAGGGGAAGUGUUAGGGCAACCGAAGCACAGAACUUAAGCCCCAGUAAACGGCGGCCGUAACUAUAACGGUCCUAAGGUAGCGAAAUUCCUUGUCGGGUAAGUUCCGACCCGCACGAAAGGCGUAAUGAUCUGGGCACUGUCUCAACAAUAGACUCGGUGAAAUUGUAGUACCGGUAAAGAUGCCGGUUACCCGCAGCAGGACGGAAAGACCCCGUGGAGCUUCACUGUAGCUUGAUAUUGAUUUUCGGCAUUGCAUGUACAGGAUAGGUGGGAGACGUUGAGUUCAGCACGCCAGUGUUGGAGGAGUCACCGUUGGGAUACCACCCUUGUAAUGUUGGAAAUCUAACCUAGUACCGUGAUCCGGUACAGGGACAGUGUCAGGUGGGCAGUUUGACUGGGGCGGUCGCCUCCUAAAGAGUAACGGAGGCGCCCAAAGGUUCCCUCAGCGCGGACGGAAAUCGCGCGAAGAGUGCAAAGGCAAAAGGGAGCUUGACUGCGAGACAUACAGGUCGAGCAGGGACGAAAGUCGGGCUUAGUGAUCCGGUGGUUCCGAGUGGAAGGGCCAUCGCUCAACGGAUAAAAGCUACCCCGGGGAUAACAGGCUUAUACCCCCCAAGAGUUCACAUCGACGGGGGUGUUUGGCACCUCGAUGUCGGCUCGUCUCAUCCUGGGGCUGGAGUAGGUCCCAAGGGUUGGGCUGUUCGCCCAUUAAAGAGGUACGCGAGCUGGGUUCAGAACGUCGUGAGACAGUUCGGUCCCUAUCCGCUGUGGGCGUUGGAAAUUUGAGAGGAGCUAUCCUUAGUACGAGAGGACCGGGAUGGACAUACCUCUGGUGUACCGGUUGUUCUGCCAAGGGCAUAGCCGGGUAGCUACGUAUGGAAGGGAUAAGCGCUGAAAGCAUCUAAGUGCGAAGCCCACCUCAAGAUAAGAUUUCCUCCGAAAGGUAAGACCCGUGAGAGACUAUCACGUUGAUAGGUCAGAGGUGUAAGUACGGUAACGUAUUCAGCUGACUGAUACUAAUAGGUCGAACACUUGACCAA